UUACUCUGGUCUCCCGUUAUGCCGAAUAAAUCUUCCGCCUUUUACUAAAGAUUUCCGUGGCGGGCGACAAUAUUGAGUCUACAAAAAACUUUUAUAAUCUUUUAUAAUUUAUAAUAA